CCUACGGGAGGCAGCAGUGGGGAAUAUUGGGCAAUGGGCGCAAGCCUUACCCCGCAAUACCGCGUGCUUGAAGAAGGUCUUCGGAUUGUAAAGCUCUUUGAUCAGGGACGAACAGAUGACGGUACCUGAAGAACACGCCCCGGCUAACUACUUGCCAGCAGCCGGGGUAAAACGUAGGGGGCGAGCGUUGUCCGGAAUGCCUGGUCGAAAAGGGUGCGUAGGCGGACUCAUAAGUUAGAAGUGCAAUACCCAGGGCUUAACGCGGGUGCUGCUUCGAAGACUGUUGAGCUUGAGUGCGGGAGAGGUUAAUGGAAGGCCUAGUGUAGCGGUGGAAUGCGUAGAUAUUAGGAGGAACACCAGAGGCGAAGGCGAUUAACUGGACCGUAACUGACGCUGAGGCACGAAAGUGUGGGUAGCAAACAGGAUUAGAUACCCUAGUAGUC
rnacentral:rRNA from 1 species